rnacentral:rRNA from 1 species
GAUGAACGCUAGCGGCAGGCCUAACACAUGCAAGUCGAGGGGUAGCAGGAUUAAGCUUGCUUAAUUGCUGACGACCGGCGCACGGGUGCGUAACGCGUAUGCAACCUACCUUAUACUGGGGUAUAGCCCGGAGAAAUUCGGAUUAAUCCCCCAUAGUACUAAUGAAUCGCAUGGUUUAUUAGUUAAAGCAUUGCGGUAUAAGAUGGGCAUGCGUCCUAUUAGCUAGAUGGUGAGGUAACGGCUCACCAUGGCUACGAUAGGUAGGGGGCCUGGGAGGGUGGUCCCCCACACUGGUACUGAGACACGGACCAGGCUCCUACGGGAGGCAGCAGUGAGGAAUAUUGGUCAAUGGGCGCAAGCCUGAACCAGCCAUGCCGCGUGCAGGAAGAAUGCCCUAUGGGUUGUAAACUGCUUUUAUUUGGGAAUAAACCUCUUUACGUGUAGAGAGCUGAAGGUACCAAAUGAAUAAGCACCGGCUAACUCCGUGCCAGCAGCCGCCGCAG